rnacentral:rRNA from 1 species
AUUGAACGCUGGCGGCAGGCCUAACACAUGCAAGUCGAACGAGUGGCGGACGGGUGAGUAAUGUCUGGGAAACUGCCUGAUGGAGGGGGAUCACUACUGGAAACGGUCUCUAAUUCCGCCUACCCUCGGUUGUGCCCAGAUGGGAUUAGCUAGUAGGUGGGGUAACGGCUCACCUAGGCGACGACCCCUAGCUGGUCUGAGAGGAUGACGGGCCAAACGGGAAUGGGACAAGGGCCAAGAUUCAUAGGGGGGGAGGAAGUGGGGAAUAUUGCACAAGGGGGGCAAGCCUGAGGCAGCAAUGCGGCGUGUAUGAGAAAGGCCUUCGGUUGGAAAAGUACUUUCAGCGGGGAGGCGUUACCGGAAGAAAAAGCACCGGCUAACUCCGUGCCAGCCGCCGCGGUAAUAC